UCAUUGAAAUCUGAGGCUUACUGGAAUUCCUGGGUCGUGGAGUUUUCCUUAGAUGCAUGAAUGCGAUAGCAAUCUAUUUGGGAAAUAUGUCAUACUUUAAACGUGAAAUUAACUCCUAUAGCGGAUGGAAGUUAAUCUUCGCCAGUGAGAUGUGCACGCCACUCAUGUAACAGGCUACGAUGAAGGAGCAUGUGCUUUUGUGUUGAUGAUGUUUUACCUUACACUAGACUUACUACAGCCUCUGGAGUGUGCAUGAGGAAACGCGCACUUAAGUCUUAGAGACUAUGCGCUCGGGUAGACAUAAGAGGGAUCGCCCACACUUCAGGGUUACUCCAUACAGAGCGCGCACAUGGCCAGAUGGUGCGCAAAUGAUAGAAUUAAGUGGAUGGCAGAAUGGGUGCAGUAAGAAAAGCGCGGAGCUGCGCACCUUUUCUGACUUAAGCAUAUGGGGAGAAUAUGGUCCAAAAUAUGCUAUUUAUUUUCCAGUUGGCCCUGCGAUUGGCUGGCGACCAGUUCAGGGUGUCUCGCCCGAAGAUAGCUGGGAUAGGCUCCAGCACGCCUGCGACCCUUGUGAGGAUAAAGCGUAUGAUAAUGAGUGCAUACCUAUAUGGACCACGCACGUACAAGCUGACUGAAGCCUAAUGGGGUCUGGACCAAGCCAGAAGGAAGAGUCAGAGAUGCCCUCGUCCUCACAGGCCCAAACUAAGUCUUCAGAUUGGGACUCUUCCUCACAUCCACCUGCCAUCCUCAUUACUGCUCCAUCACAAGAUGAUAUCCAUGCUUCCUCAUCCAACUUCUCUGUAGCUGAUGCUAUCAAAGAACGGAGGCCCUCUUCAGCACCCAUUGUUGUUGGCAAAAAAUUCAUGAAACGAAAAUGACCUGGCACUGAGGUCACUGAUUAUGUAGUCAUCGUCGUUCACGCCCCUGCGUUCUGUGCAAGCGGGAUGGCUUCUGUUCCCACUCAGUGACGGUGUGAAUGUGAGCGGUAAUGGUGAGGUGUCUCUAUAGAUGUACAAAUUGUUGUUUUUGCGAAUGAUCCCUGAAGAUGCUUUUCAUUUCUUUGGGAAUUGCCCAUUCCCUAACAAAUUACGGAAAGAUGUCGAGAAUUUGAUUUCUGUUCGUAUUGAACCAUGUCUUUCCUUUUGCUUAGAGCAUAUAUUGUUUAUCUUCGUUGACAAGCCACUUGUGAAAAUAAUACAUUAUUAAUUUUAUCAUGUUAUUGGCUAAAUGGCAUCGAGACAAAUGUCGCUAUUCUUAUUAAAAAAAACACUCUUUUGCAUUUUUAAAAACCAUUAGACACUCCAAAAAUGCAAAAGCCAUUUAAACCUUGGCUAAAUGUGCUCUUUAUAAUGCAUUUUCGCCAGUGAUUGUACGUCACCCCCUGGCAAUUGUGUUUGUUUGUUUUGUAUAUUCCGAAUAAAUAUUAAUGGGAAAAAAAG